CUGCAUCUGUACAGACUUCUGCAAAGGGGAGCUUAUGCGUUAGUGGUUCAGCUCAGGAGCAGCUGGAGGGGCUGAGCAGAGCUGCAGAGCUGGCCUCCCAGCCAUGGCAUUGCUGUCUCAUGGCAGGAGAGCCAUUAGGAAAUGAUCCAGUGGUCCCACUGACGUGCCCCUGCCCCCCUGCCCUGCUCCUGCUCCAUUCUGGUAAGUGGCAGUUCUGCAGCGGCACCCUACUCUUGGCUCUUGCCUAAACAUACAGAAGCAUGGUUACAUGAACUGAGUUAACUCACCCCAUCAGUGGUAUUUUGCAGACGUCCAGAUGCAGGGUGGCAGAUCUAAGUGGUAUGAACAACUCCCCUUUACCAGUGCAUGCAUUGUAUCCAUAGAUAAUGACUGCAUAAUGUUCUAAUGAAAGCAUUCAUAACUGUAUCAUGUGGCUGGCGUAUUUUAAAGGACACUCCUGUUCAUCACCAUUGGUUCUUUUCCAGACCCUGUUCAAGGUGCUCACAUUAGUGUUUAAAGCCCUAAAUGCUGGCUCUCUCCCCUCCAGAUCCUCCUGGGUGUUAAGAUUGGUUCCACCUCCUUAGAGGGGGGCGGGGGGCCCAAGAGAGGCAUUCUCUGUGGCACCCCAGUAGUGUCCAAACUUUUUUCAAAGAGGGCUGAUGAAGUGAAGGGCCGUGAGGGCUGACCAAAUGGCCAACCAAAGUUGUUGACCUUUCUUUAGAAUUGAAGUUGAGCUUUUUUUAGGAUUUUACCCCAAAGUUGUUGAGCUUUUAGGGUUGAAGUUGUUGAGGUUUUUUAGGAUUUUUACCCCAGGAAAUAACCUGGCAAGGUCCAGAUUAAACCAACCGGAUUAGGCCCCCAAAAUGGACUUUGGACAUGCCUGCUAAGUUGUGGAAUUCCUUGUUAAGUAUAAUUCUUUUAAUUGACAUUGAAAUGGGAAUGUCUGUGUAGUGAAAAGCUUUAACAUGGGGAGAUUCCAUUGAAGCUUUAGAACAGCAAGAAGAGCACUUUGAGCUCUUGAUGAGUUGAUAAUUAACUAAUUGUUGUUUUUUGCUAGCUGACACGUGAGUGAGUAACCUUAGAUCAUGUGACAAAGGUUGUUGUUGUUGUUUAGUCGUUUAGUCGUGUCCGACUCUUCGUGACCCCAUGGACCAGAGCACGCCAGGCACUUCUGUCUUCCACUGCCUCCCGCAGUUUGGUCAAACUCAUGCUGGUAGCUUCGAGAACACUGUCCAACCAUCUCGUCCUCUGUCGUCCCCUUCUCCUUGUGCCCUUCAUCUUUCCCAACAUCAGGGUCUUUUCCAGGGAGUCUUCUCUUCUCAUGAGGUGGCCAAAGUAUUGGAGCCUCAGCUUCAGGAUCUGUCCUUCCAGUGAGCACUCAGGGCUGAUUUCCUUCAGAAUGGAUACGUUUGAUCUUCUUGCAGUCCAUGGGACUCUCAAGAGUCUCCUCCAGCACCAUAAUUCAAAAGCAUCAAUUCUUAGGCGAUCAGCCUUCUUUAUGGUCCAGCUCUCACUUCCAUACAUCACUACUGGGAAAACCAUAGCUUUCACUAUACGGACCUUUGUUGGCAAGGUGAUGUCUCUACUUUUUAAGAUGCUGUCUAGGUUUGUCAUUGCUUUCCUCCCAAGAAGCAGGUGUCUCUUAAUUUCAUGGCUGCUGUCACCAUCUGCAGUGAUCAUGGAGCCCAAGAAAGUAAAAUCUCUCACUGCCUCCAUUUCUUCCCCUUCUAUUUGCCAGGAGGUGAUGGGACCAGUGGCCAUGAUCUUCAUUUUUUUGAUGUUGAGCUUCAGACCAUAUUUUGCGCUCUCCUCUUUCACCCUCAAUAAAAGGUUCUUUAAUUCCUCCUCAAUUUCUGCCAUCAAGGUUGUGUCAUCUGCAUAUCUGAGGUUGUUGAUAUUUCUUCCAGCAAUCUUAAUUCCGCCUAGGGAUUCAUUCAGCCCAGCCUUUCGCAUGAUGAAUUCUGCAUAUAAGUUAAAUAAACAGGGAGACAAAAUACAGCCUUGUCGUACUCCUUUCCCAAUUUUGAACCAAUCAGUUGUUCCAUAUCCAGUUCUAACUGUAGCUUCUUGUCCCACAUAGAGAUUUCUCGGGAGACAGAUGAGGUGAUCAGGCACUCCCAUUUCUUUAAGAACUUGCCAUAGUUUGCUGUGGUCGACACAGUCAAAGGCUUUUGCAUAGUCAAUGAAGCAGAAGUAGAUGUCUUUCUGGAACUCUCUAGCUUUCUCCAUAAUCCAGCGCAUGUUUGCAAUUUGGUCUCUGGUUCCUCUGCCUCUUCUAAAUCUAGCUUGCACUUCUGGGAGUUCUCGGUCCACAUACUGCUUGAGCCCUCCUUGUAGAAUUUUAAGCAUAACCUUGCUAGCGUGUGAAAUGAGUGCAAUUGUGCGGUAGUUGGAGCAUUCUUUAGCACUGCCCUUCUUUGGGAUUGGGAUGUAGACUGAUCUUCUCCAGUCCUCUGGCCACUGCUGAGUUUUCCAAACCUGAUGGCAUAUUGAGUGUAGCACCUUAACAGCAUCAUCUUUUAAAAUUUUAAAUAGUUCAGCUGGAAUACCAUCACUUCCACUGGCCUUGUUAUUUGCAGUGCUUUCUAAGGCCCAUUUGACUUCACUCUCCAGGAUGUCUGGCUCAAGGUCAGCAACCACACUACUUGGGGUGUACGAGACAUCCAUAUCUUUCUGGUAUAAUUCCUCUGUGUAUUCUUGCCACCUCUUCUUGAUGUCUUCUGCUUCUGUUAGGUCCUUACCACUUUUGUCCUUUAUUAUGGUAAUCUUUGAACGAAAUGUUCCUUUCAUAUCUCCAAUUUUCUUGAACAGAUCUCUGGUUCUUCCCAUUCUGUUGUUUUCCUCUAUUUCUUUGCAUUGCUCGUUUAAGAAGGCCUUCUUGUCUCUCCUUGCUAUUUUUGGAAAUCUGCAUUCAAUUUCCUGUAUCUUUCACUAUCUCCCUCGCAUUUUGCUUGCCUUCUUUCCCCCGCUAUUUGUAAGGCCUCAUUGGACAGCCACUUCGCUUUCUUGCAUUUCCUUUUCAUUGGGAUGGUUUUCGUUGCUGCCUCCUGUAUAAUGUUGCGAGCCUCCAUCCACAGUUCUUCAGGCGCUCCGUCCAGCAAAUCUAAAUCCUUAAACCUGUUCCUCACUUCCACUGUGUAUUCAUAAGGGAUUUGAUUUAGAUUGUAUCUUACUGGCCCAGUGGCUUUUCCUACUUUCUUCAGUUUAAGCUUGAAUUUUGCUAUAAGAAGCUGAUGAUCUGAGCCACAGUCAGCUCCAGGUCUUGUUUUUGCUGACUGUAUAGAGCUUCUCCAUCUUUGGCUGCAGAGAAUAUAAUCAAUCUGAUUUCAAUGCUGCCCAUCUGGUGAUGUCCACGUGUAGAGUCGUCUCUUGUGUUGUUGGAAAAGCGUGUUUGUGAUGACCAGCUCUUGACAGAACUCUAUUAGCCUUUGCCCUGCUUCGUUUUGCUCUCCAAGGCCAAACUUGCCAGUUGUUCCUUUUAUCUCUUGAUUCCCUACUUUAGCAUUCCAAUCCCCUAUAAUGAGAAGAACAUCCUUCUUUGGUGUCACUUCAAUAAGGUGUUGUAAGUCUUCAUAGAAUUGGUCAAUUUCAGUUUCUUCAGCACCAGUAGUUGGUGCAUAAACUUGGAUUACUGUUAUGUUAAAAGGUCUGCCUUGGAUUCGUAUCGAGAUCAUUCUAUCAUUUUUGAGAUUGCAUCCCAGUACAGCUUUUGCCACUCUUUUGUUGACUAUGAGGGCCACUCCAUUUCUUUUGCGGGUUUCUUGCCCACAGUAGUAGAUACAAUGGUCAUCUGAACUGAAUUCGCCCAUUCCUGUCCAUUUUAGUUCACUGAUGCUCAGGAUGUCAAUAUUUAUUCUUGCCAUCUCAUUUUUGACCACAUCCAACUUACCCAGGUUCAUGGUUCUUACAUUCCAGGUUCCUAUGCAAUAUUUUUCUUUACAGCAUUGGACUUUCCUUUCGCUUCCAGGCAUAUCCGCAACUGAGUGUCCUUUCGGCUUUAGCCCAGCCGCUUCAUCAGCUCUGGAUCUACUUGUACUUGUCCUCCACUCUUCCCCAGUAGCAUGUUGGACGCCUUCUGACCUGAGGGGCUCAUCUUCCAGCGUCAUAACUUUUAUAUGCCUGUUGUCUUUGUCCAUGGAGUUUUCUUGGCAGGGAUACUGGAGUGGCUUGCCAGUUCCUCCUCCAGGUGGAUCACGUUUGGUCAAAACUCUCCACUAUGACCUGUUCAUCUUGGGUGCCCUGCUCGGCAUAGUUCAUAGCUUCUCUGAGUUCUUCAAGCCCCUUCGCCAUGGCAAGGCAGUGAUCCAUGAAGGGCGUGACAAAGGUAUUUGAUUGCAAAUCUCCAUUCUGAAGGGAGUUGCCUUUGAGUCUCUUAUCUCAAAACUCCAUGGAAGGAAGAUGUAGAUGAAGCUCUCCAAGAAAACAGCUCCAGGCAAAAUGGAUGCCUAAAGCUCUGUCUGAAUUAUUUCAUAUUUUCUAAGAUGCUGAGCCUGUGAUGGAUAGCACAAGAUAUUGUACAGGUAUUUUUUUAUGUACCUUUGAUGUUUUAAUUCUGUUGUGAAGAAGGUUCCAUAAGUAAAACUGUGAAUAAAAUUUUUAUGGGUCUGGACAAAGCUUUGUUUCCAAAAGGAGGCAGUGCUUAUGCUUCCAGUCACUUCAAACUAUACAGAUUUCAGAUUCAGGUAGGUAGCCUUGUUGGUCUGACGCAGUCGAAAUAUAUAAAAAAUAAAAUAAAAUAAAAUAAUUGUCCAGUAGCACCUUAGAAACCAACUAAGUUUGUUCUUGGUAUAAGCUUUCGUGAGAAGAAGUGUGCAUGCACACGAAAGCUUAUACCAAGAACAAACUUAGUUGGUCUCUAAGCUGCUACUGGACAAUUUUUUUAUUUUUUUAUUUAUAUUUAUAAAAAUAUUUAUACAGAUUUCAUUGAAUGCUGACACCUGAAGUGUUUUUUUUCAAGUCGCACCCUAAACCCGUGACUGCAAUCUGCCUUCACUUUUUAAAAUAAUAGUAAGAGGGCUACCUGGGGACCUUUUGUGGGCCAUAAAACAACAACCGAAUGGUAGGUUGAUGCAAUACUUGUUGCAAUCUUACAGCUGCCACGUGAAGCUGCACAACAGUGUUGGUGUGGGGUCCCUCCUAUAUCAUACCCUUCCUUUUUUGAAGGUUUAGCAUGCCUCAGGGCCUCAUUUCCCACUUCCUGCCAUGUCAAAGCACGACAAGUUGCUGCAGAUAUGCCCUUACUAAGGCAGGCAGGCAGCCCUGGUUUGCCCUGCCUUCUUUGCUACAGAAGCCUGAUCAAGCAGCCCAAGUUACAAGCAGGGUUAAAUGUCAGCAGUGCAAAAGAUAAUUAAUCUUAUCUGUCACUGCAGCUGUUUCACAUAAUUUUCACUUAAUAGUAGCAAAUAUCAUAUAUCAUGCUAGCGUAAAAGAACAGCAAAGCAGAGCAGGAUUACACACACACACACACACACACCAAACUUUUAAUAUGCAUGAUAGGAACUGAUGCAUCCUUACUUCAAAGUUAGGGCAUUUAAUCCCAUGUUUCCUCCAAUGAAGGUUUAAUGUCAUUCAUUGAAUUUCCCUGCAGGGGCACAGAUAGAAUUGCAAGGGCUACAAACUCUUGUUAUAAGUGAAGACUACAGCGCAGAAGCCUGUGGAAUAUAGAGUAAGGGCCCCAAACAGGAUGGGGUUGCUUGAGCAAACCUACAUUCUCCAGCAUGUGUUUAUUGUCAAAUAGACUUCCUUUUUAUUUCAUAAAAUUUAUAGACCACUUCAUUGGUGUGCCCCCUGCCCCAGGGGGGGCAGGGAACACACCUCAAAGCAGUCUACAAAAAAAGAAUCAAAUAAUGAAAUUAUCAGUUUAAAAAACGUUAAAACGGCUAUUUUAAGUGAUCAAAACAUUGAAAUCAACAGUAGACUAAAAACCAGAUCAAAGCACAGGUCAGGAUUGUACAUACCUUGAAAGGCUAGAUUAAACAAUACAGUGGUACCUCGGGUUAAGUACUUAAUUCGUUCCGGAGGUCUGUUCUUAACCUGAAACUGUUCUUAACCUGAAGCACCACUUUAGCUAAUGGGGCCUCCCGCUGCUGCUGCGCCGCCAGAGCAAGAUUUCUGUUCUUAUCCUGAAGCAAAGUUCUUAACCUGAAGCACUAUUUCUGGGUUAGCGGAGUCUGUAACCUGAAGCAUAUGUAACCUGAAGCGUAUGUAACCCGAGGUGCCAUUGUAAAUGUUUUUUUACAGGCAACUUUAAAAACCUAGCCCCAUGUUGCAGGACACCGACUCAGUGCAGAAGGGUAAAAGAUAAUGCAUAACACACUGACCUCAGGGAGAAUCCUCCUUCUUCCAUUCCAUCAUGGCAAAUGUCAAUUUAAAAAGAAAAAGAUGUAUGCCUCAUUCUAAAAGGCCAUUUCUUUACAUCAGCUUAAUUUACGCCGGCAUGCUUUAUGCAAGCUUCUUGCGCAUGGAACUGCUCCUCCCUAAGAGUGGCAGAUGGAGGAGAGAUCGUAUAAUCCCCCCCUUCAAAUUGCAAAUGAAUAUUAGUUGCACUCUGUAACUAAACAUUCCAAACUCUGUACCUGAAUUAUUGGCAUAUUUCUUCAAGGCUGCAUAUUUAUAGUCUGAAGCAACUUUCAGAGUCUCAGGGUCUCAUUUUAAUGAACACGCUUUCUCCAGCAACAACAACAUCCAAGGUACAGAUCUAUUCAAAAUCCAUAAUUUUAAAUUAGCAGGAACAGUUUGAUAGGGUUCCAUUGAUAUUUUCCGUUAGUUAUUACCAAGAAUAAUACACAAAUUAAACCACGUCCAGCAACAUACUAAACUGCACAAUUUAGAUCUAAACAGACAUGCUUCGAAGCACUUACAGUUUUAGUAAUCCAAAGCAACUGAACAUUAUAUUCCAAAACCAGAUUCUACAAAAUCAAAUUACUUUCUGCUCUCAGACAAUUAAUAAAACUGUUCAGGGGGCUCGGAAAUCUAUUAAUCUCUUUUUCCUUCCACAACCUAGAAUGGAUCUAAAAUAUAAGAAACAUUAAAUGGAAGUUACAGAGUCAUACACUGCUUUCUCCUGCUCUCCUGUGUGGGGAUUGCAUUAGAAUUCAGACUUUGAAUGGAAAACUGUGCUAUACGAGUAUUUAUGAAGUUUUAUAAUCAAAUAAUUAUUUAUUAGACUUUUUAAUCCACCCUUCACCAUGCAGUCCGAAGGUGGAUUACACUGUAUUAACACACAAGGGAGGAAAUUGUUUCCAGGCUACUUGAACACUGAAGCUGGGUUUGAGCUUCAGAUCAAAACACUAAAUGUAAAAUUGCACACGAAAAUAAAUUCUAAUAUUUCAGUAUCAAAGAAAGAUAUUGCAUUGAAAUAUAUUUUAAAAUUUUGCAUGCCCCUCUAAAUAUGAUUUGGUGGUUAAGCAGGUGCUCAAACUUUUGGCAUAUUCUGAUUUGGUAUUGUGAAAUCUCAAUAAACUGCUAAAUUUUAACACUGAAAAUAAAUUUUGAUAAAGGCUACUUUUUGUAACAUUUUCCUGCAAAUUCAACUCUUGAAAUUGGCUUCUUUUUGUGGAAUACUGUUGUUUUCAUUUGCAAUCAAUUUGGGGGGCUGUCAAAAAUGCAGCCCUAAAAACAAAGUAUUAAGUGUUUUUUUAAAAAAAGAAAAAAAAUGUGCAUGGCUUCUUUCAAUUUGUCAUGGGCCAUUUGUUGGAUAGAAAGCAAUACAUAUAAUGUGAAUGGACGAUAUCACAUCUCUACUACAAAAGCACACAAUCACUCAGGUCUAACCUCAGACAUUCUCUCAACUGCAGGAUAUCUUAGAAGUGUGUUUGUUUUGAGAACUACUAUGAGGUAUUCUCCAGGCCAUCAGAAGCAAGAAUUAUGUUGCACAGAUAUUCUUUUGCAAGCAUGAUAUUGUACUUCAGAAUGGUACAAAGGUAAUACAAUAGCACUGACCAGCUCACUUGCUUCCAGUGUUAAUAUCUUCAGCAGAUGUUUCGAGGCCUUUUCUACUUCGUUUGUUUUGAAAGUGUGACAUUAAUUAAUGUUAACGUUAUUACUGUGUGGGAGUGAUGGUCAUUUUUGCUUUGAAACAGAUAUAGAAUGCAUGAAAAGUUUGCAUGAAAACAACACCUCAUGCUAAUAUUCAGCAACAGACCCAUUAGUAGCUUGUCUUUGAAAUGCAGUUGUGCAAAGGGUUUCUAUCAGUAUGUAUUAAGAGGUUUUGCAUUUUUCUGUCACUUCUUUUGGUGGAGUGCUAGCUUUAAUUGUGCAACCUGAAUUUGUCAGUAUGUGAUUCAAUCCCACCCCUAAACAAUGACAAUCAAAGUGCCCAAAGUCAUGAUAUGAGGGCCACACUGAUGAUGUUCUUAGACUAGCUUUCAAUAUUAAGGCAAAGCGUGUUCUCCUUGAAAUGAGAGCAUGUGUUGCGGUGGGGUCCGCUGAGUCACCCCUCUGUUGCCAGGCAAGGUGACCAAGCUGACUGAUUGGUUGGCUGGGUUGCCGGGGAAAUUUACUUGUUGCGAUUUUGGUGGGAGGGAUCGAACCUUUUAAAUUCCGGGCACGCAGCUUGGUGCUUUCUCUUUCGCUGCGUGAAGCGGAUCACCCGCCCACCCACCCUGAGUUUCGAAGGUUUUGCUUUGACCUUGCUAUGCCUGUCAUGGGGUCGUCUGCUCUUGGGGCAGGGGCCUGGUAGGAAUUUUGUCCAUCUGGCCGAUUGGCUGGGCUAUUUGGUUUUUGCCUACUGCGUAGCAAAUCGCCACAACUUGUAAGGUUGCGGUUAGGCAUUGGUUAUCAAAUUGGUUGGAGGAGGGGUAAGGACUGGCUGGGCCUGCCCCUCCAAUGCUGCUGCGGAAGGGAAUUCCGUUAAAGGAAUCCAGGGGCUUGCCACGAUUUCGUCCGAAUCCCUGGAAUGGGGCUAGGGCCGGCAAGCCCCGGGAAGCAUGCGGGUGAGUGCUGAGGGCCUGUGACUCCGCUCCAUUGCUCCCCAAUAUUGUUUUCCCUUACUGGCUUCCGAGGGAGUUUGGAGCUCAGUUCUGUCCCUAGGCGGGGGGGGGGGGUCAGAUAGUUUUAACCAAUGCCUAAGCAACCACUCACAGAUACGUAUUUUAAUAAAGUUGUGGCCAAAAUUAUGCCAAAAACCUUAAACAAAAAUUAUGUGUGAGUUGUGAGUUAUUUGAGGGGUGGCUUGGGGACCUCAACACGCAAACAUUAUGUACUUGAGUUCUUCUCUGGCUCAGAUCUGAAUCCAAGCCAGAAAAGAAUGCCCACCUUCUCCAGUAGCAACAGCUCUCAGUUUCUCCUGUUUUUACCUCAAUCUUUCUUCCUCAUCCAAUGUGUGGGAAAGUCAAUUUCCCAAGGAGAUCUAGAACACCUUGGGAAGAUUGCAAUUCUCAGAGGUCCCUUGGCACACUACUUUCAACUGUGUUUCAUGUAUCGGAGAAGAAGUGAGUAGGGAGAGAGACUGAGAGGGGCUCAUUCCCCUACCACCUACUGCUCCAUUGUAACUGCUGAAGCAGCCACCAGAGGGGGGCAAGCAGGGAGAGAAGGCAAUGACAAAUGGAGAAGAAGAGCAAGGGGAAGGUAGGGGGCAUGCUGGCAGAACUGCCACUGCAGUUGCCAGCUAAUAAUAAUAAUACAAAGCAAACAGCUAUUGAGCUCUACUCCAUCAAUGUACUAAAGGUCCAAACUAGCAAGUAUCGUCUAAGUUGUUGCCUGAAUAGUACCAACAUGAACAGCUGGAUUUCCACAGGGAAGGAAUCCUACAACCUGGGUGCAUUAUAUGGUGUACGUCUUUGAGGAUCAACUUCUGUGGUACAUGCAGUCUGGUCGCAUUCACAUGGACUCAGAAGCAAGUUGCACUGUGUUCAACAGGGCUUAAACCCCAAUUCAUGCACAGAGGGUUAUGCCUUAGAAAGGCCUAUGAAUGUUGGCAAAGCACGAGGCAAACACAACCAUUUUUGAGAAGUAUAACAAUAAAACCAGCAGACCCAGGUCUUUUGCAAAACUCCAGAUUUGUAUAAAACGUUGCGUAUUUCGUUUGCAGGAGAGAUGGCUUUUCAUAGAAAGUGACCUGAGAAACGUUACCAUACUAAUAUGUAGCAAAUGAAUUCUGAAGUCAUUCUUCUCCCACAUUUUCUUUCCCAUCACUCACUUCCUCCAGGAGGGUAUCUUCAGAACAUGAUAUUUCUCAAGGGUUUUACUUUGUUUACUGAUUUGUGAUCUGAGGAUUUUUACGCACAUGCAUGGGAAAGAUAACACGCCCGGAAUGUAAAGAGCAUGAUAACAGCAUGUCAGAUAAACAAGGAAACCAAACACCAUCAUUAAAAGGUCAAAAAGGCCAAUGGAAAGCAAAGUAGUUUAAUUAAAGGCUGCCUAUGUUGUUAAAAAAUGUCCUGACAUAUUGGUGAGCUAUUGUAGGCAUACAUUCCAGAGCAAAUGCAAAAGGAAGAGUUCUGUGGAAUCUUACAACUGGUUGUGGCAUGGACCUUAAUGGCUUAUAGUCUAUUAUGUCACAUACAAAAAAAGAGUCUUAUUUCUCAUAUGCGCGCACACACAAACAGGUGGAUAUAGCUAGCAUAUCCAAGAGCCCAAAACUGAAAGGGCUAGGAGUAGGCUUGUGACAUUUCUACGCAGAAUCCAGAUCUAUACAUGUUGAGAACUGAGUGAUGCAUUCUCAACUGCAGUCAUAGCUAUGCCUAUGCCAUUGAACACACAUAGUGUGCAAGAAACUCACAGUUCUGAUUAAGUCCAAAUUGAGGAGAAUCAAAUUUGCUGAUACACUGUAGUUCAGCAAUUUGGUGGUGAAGGCUCACUUUAAAGUAAAAAAGUAAAGCAAAGUAAGAAAAUUGUAGUAUGCUGAUGUUGGGUGCCUCCAGGUGGUCAUUAUUUUUCAGGAGGAAGUCAAGUACAUUGUGGAAUUUUAGGUUUUCUGAUUUAACAUGGAUUAAAGCAAGAAGAUCAAACCUAUCCAUUUUUAAGGAAAUCAGCCCUGAGUGCUCACUGGAAGGACAGAUCCUGAAGCUGAGGCUCCAAUACUUUGGCCACCUCAUGAGACGACAAGACUCUCUGGAAAAGACCCUGAUGUUGGGAAAGAUGGAGGGCACAAGGAGAAGGGGAUGACAGAGGAUGAGAUGGUUGGACAGUGUUCUCGAAGCUACAAACAUGAGUUUGACCAAACUGCAGGAGGCAGUGGAAGACAGGAGUGCCUGGUGUGCUCUGGUCCAUGGAGUCACGAAGAGUCGGACACAACUAAAUAACUAAACAACAACAAAGCACUUGGCAAAUCCACAUUAAACAAACGCAAAAACCAUGAACUUUUUGCGGUUUGGAAAGUGAUGGGGAAAUGCAUUUAAAAGUGUUGAAUGAACAAUGGGAAAAUGUUUAAAUGCCCCGUUAGCAAAUCAGGAUGGAUGCUGAUUGCCAUGCAACUGUCCUGUAAAUGAAUUCAAAUGAAUGUUCAGUAAAGACCAGACAUAAUCUAACAACCAUGUUAUGCUCAACAGAUCAUCUGAAGGAGCCCUUUGAGAUCAGCAUCAGUGCCCUGGGACACUGAAAUGUUUACCAUUGAUUUCUGAAUGAGGUUGCUUCUGAUCUCAAAUUUGUGUUCAUUUAUUGCUAUGCAUGGAGGCUGACUUAAAUAAAUACUGCUUCUUUCACUCAGAGUGUUUGAAUAAAGUGGGAUAAAGAAAACUGUGCUUUUUUAAAAUAAAAAAGUGUGGUUAUUUUCAUUCUUGUUCUAUCAAGUCAUUUUUAAUUCUGGGAAUGACCUAGCCAUGCUAUACGGCGGAGAACAAUAUUUCAGUGCAGGGCACAGAUUAAGUGUUAAGUGAGCAAAUGCGUUUCAGAAAGUUACUCCUCUGAAGCCAUCUCAUUCAUUUUUCUGCCCUGCUGUUGCUGCCUAGACGUUGACAGAUGGAGUGGUGUGUUUUGGGUCAGAGGGUUUUCCACCAAGUAGAACAAGUCAAUCUACAUUCUCAUCAAGGCCCUGCGGUUGUAUUUUGAGUUUGCCUUAUUGUAUUAGUUAGUAUAAUCAUUUUAAAACAAUGCUAAUGUGGCCCCACUGGAAGCAAACACUCUUGUUUUCUUAUUGAAAGCAAUGAGCCCCCAGCAGCUUUGUUUAAUCAAAUAUAAUGUUACCUCCAGCUGAAUACAUUACAGAGACCAGGUCAAAUUCUGUGGUAUAUUGUGCCUUUUGAUGUUAUUAGUAAUUAUUGUUGUUAGUGAAGAUUUCAUCAACUUUUUCUCUCUUUUUUUGAAAUCAUUUUUAUUUGAUUUUACAAAUAUAAAUUUAUAACCAUACCAAAUACACAUCCAUUUAAAGACAUUACUCUGAAUCUCAAGACUUCCCCCAUCCCCUCCAUGGCUCCUAUUGUCAACAUUUUCAACUGCAUUUUAUUUAGUGAUCUAUAUUUUGUAUCUGUCCAUGUUGUCCGUAAAGUGUGUUCUCCCUCAUGGAGAGCACAGGUUGCGGGCAGGGCUGACAAGACACCUCACUGUUACUAGGCAAAUGGUUUGGCCAUCCUGUAAGCAGGGGCGGGCUGUUACUGGGGAAAUUUAGAUGUUGCCAAUUAGUGAUUGACAGCCCUAUUUGUUAAAUACAAGGCACGCAACAACGGACGUCCUCUUUCGCUGCAUGCUUCGGAUCACCCGCCCUCCCUUCCCUAAUGUUAGGCUGUUUGCUUGACCUUGCUAUUGCCUGUCAUGGGGUCAUCUGCCUUGGGGCAGGGGCCCGGUAGGAAUUUUGCCAUUUGGCUGAUUAGUGUGUGCCACUUGGUUUUCGCCUACCGCGUAGCAAAUCGUCACAACUUGUAAGGUUUGCGGUUAGGCAUUGGUCUGGAAUUGGUUGCUGGGGGGUAUGGAUUCGGCUGUGCCUGCCCCCCAAAAUGCUGCUGCUGGUGGAGGGGUAUGGAUUCGGCUGUGCCCGCCCCUCCAAAAUGCUGCUGCUGCUGCUGAAGGGUUUUACCAUUAAAGGAACCCAGGGGCUCCCCCAUGCUUUUGUCCGAAACCCCCUGGCAAGGGGCUAGGGCCACACAAGCCCCUGGGAGCAUGCUGGGGAGAGGUGAGGCAUGGUUCCCAGUCCCGUCUCUCUCCCCAGGUGACUUACCCUUCCUGACUUCGCGGGGGGUGCGAAUGUCAGAGCUGUCCCCUUGCGGGGGCAGCUAGUGCUACCAAUGCCUAAGCAACCACUCACAUUGAAUAAAGUUGUGGCCAAAAUUAUGCCAAAAACCUUAAACAAAAAUUAAGUGUCAAUUGUGUUUUUCUUGGGGGGGGGUGUCUUGGGGACCUCGACACGCAAUAUCUGUUACAUUACAAGUGAGAUUAAAAUCCUGCUAAUGUUUUCAUCUGCUUACAGAGUUCUCCUAAAUAAAUUAUAAACUUUUCCCAUUCCUUCUUGAAUUUCUUGUCUUCUUGGUCCUUGAGCUUUCCAGUCAGUUUUGGCAUUUCAGCAUAGUCCAGCAGCUUAGUUUGCCAUUCCUCUCUGGUACGUACUAUUUCUUCUUUCCAUCUCUGAGUUAGCGGCAUCCGAAUUCAUCAACCUUUUCAGACCCAGAACCCACUUUUGACCCAAACAUGCAUUUGGGGAACCAUUUCUUAAUCUUUAACUAUCUUCCUGAUGUGACUCACCUUGGAUCAUAGCUGUCAACUUUUCCCUUUUCUUACGAGGAAUCCUAUUCAGAAUAAGGGAAUUUCCCUUUAAAAAAGGGAAACGUUGACAGCUAUGCCUUGGAUCAGGCUGUGACAACCCACUGGUAAUUCCCAACCCACCAACUGAAGACCAGUUAGAAUACUAGUCGAAAGGAGAGACUUAUUAUUAUUAUUAUUCUAAACUCAUUGUACUGCAGAUACUACCAGAUAACAAUACUGUUUAAACAUAAGAAGAGAAUCCUGACCAUAUAAUUUAAUCAGGAGAGAAAUACUAAAUGGAUGCCCCUCCCAUUUGGCUGGGUGGCUUACAGCAUAUCUAAUCCAGUUCUAUACCCCUCCAAACAACAAAAGCUACUAUAUUAAACACCCCCUUUCCCACUGACUGAGCCCCAUUCUCUGCUGCUGGAGGCUCUAAUUUUGCUGAAUGCUAUUUUCCGUUAAUCUGCAAUAGCAUGCUGGACACUAUAAAACGACAUUUGUUCAACUCACAGGUAUUUAUUUUUUAAAUGGCUUUUGUCCAUUCUUCACGCUCUAUGACCAGAAUAAUAAUAAGAAGAAGAAUUUAUUAUUUAUACCCCGCACAUCUGGCUGGGCUUCUCCAGCCACUCUGGGCGGCUUCCAACAAAAUAUUAAAAUACCGUAAUACAGAAGGUUUCUUUCCAUCCACUGAAGGCUUUUGGUCUAGUGGAGGGAUCCCACCAAUCUGAAGGAGGCAACUUUGCCAACUUUCCUCUUCCUUCUACAACUGCCAGUGCCUCCUCCCACCCAACUGUUCCAGAGGGAUGUCCCCUAAGCCUCAGGAGCAGAUUUUAGAAGGGCACAACAGAGAAUUGGCAAAAGUCUCCUCCCCUUCCACUUCUGGUGAUGGAAGUGAAGUCUGAAUCCAAGCCAGUAUUCCUAGGUUUCACCACAACAAAGUUCUCAGAGCUCAAAAGAAGAAAUAAAGCAAUUUGAAAUACAAAUUUUUAAAAUAUCCCAAUAAAACAAUAAAUGUAGCAUAACUAUUCAAGGCACAGAGUAAAAACAGCUUAAAGCUACGGCAGGUUUUAAAGGCCUAGGAAAAUAAGAUGUACGUUGGGUGCUGAUUGACACCAAAGAAGAUGCCAUGUAAGCAUAUUUGGGGAGAAUAACUUUACAGUUGGGUGGCCACAACUGAAAAUGCCUUGUCUCUUGUAUCCUCUCUACAUGUUGUUUUUGUAAAGAAACCCAAAGUGUGUCUUCUUUCAAUUAAAGAGAUGCCCAAAGAUCAUAAACCACCGAGCUUUUCAUGAUGAGACUCAGCAUCAUGUGAAAUGGCAGUCUUUGCCCUAUGUUGCACCUUGAACAUUCAUGUGCCUGCAUUUACAUGUUUGUGCUAAAACCUUAACAAGGCAAAAUAAAUAAAUAGGGGCAAUGAUUCAGGGAAGCGCACCAUGCAUGCAAAAAGUAGGGAUGAUCCAGCUGGCAAACAGGGGCAACUGGAGUUCAUGCUGCAAGGGCCUGGGCAGGAGAGUGAGAGAACUUUGCUGUGACUGGAGAUAAGGGUCUGCUGAAGCAGGAAUGGCAGGCGGUGCUGCACAGGAGAUGGGGACAGAAAGGCAAGUUCCAGAAAGGGCAGGAAGACCUGAGGCAAAAUGAAAUGCAGACACAGGCAAGCAUUCGACAAAGAGCUCUGCAGCUCUACAGUUCUGUGGUUUUGUGUAUACAAAGAGACUGUUGCUGAUUUCGACAGCUGGAAACCCUGAAAGUGGAAGCCUAGAAGUAACUUGGCAAAAGCCCAAAAUACCACUGUGGUGAUGUCACCCCAGCUCAGAGAUGCUGGGAGUGCUUUUUAAGCAAAACCUGAUGAUUGCAAGGACAUGAAAGCCCUGAGUUGAGAGAGAAGGUGCUGCAGAUUCUAGUUGCCACCUCUCUGUUGUCAUAAUCUACCGGCAAUGUUCCUGCUAAUGUAUUUCUCAGCUGUGCGGAGGGGUGCUCUCUGUGAACCUGGCCCAUUCGCAUGGAUGCUUUGAUACAGUCUGGGUUGAAAGGAAAAGCAUUCUGAUAAAAGCAAGCAAGAACAAGGAACUCGCUUUUGGUAUCACCCACCCACUACCACACUUCUCCACCCACACACAUACUUGUUCUGCUCCCUCCACUGCUGUUCUUUUACAUACGCAGCAGAUCCCAGGACUGAAUGUAGCCAACCACAUUUUUAUUUUUCAACCCAGACUGAAUUUAAAUUGUUGCACACUUUCUUUUGUGGAUUGAAUAUCAUUUGUUGUGAAAUGGGCUGAUUUUUUGUGUAUUGAUGCCUGACACAUGGGGUGAAAGUGUUAUCUAUUGGAUCUCCAUCUCUGUUGAAAUAUUGCAAACCAGUAUGGCAGUGAUGGAGAACCUGUGACCCUCCAGAUAUUGCUGGACUUCAACACCCAUCAGUCCCAGCCAGCCAGCAGAACCAGUAAUCAGGGAUGAUGGGAAUUGUAGUCCAGCAAUAUCUGGAGGGUCACAGGUACCCUACCCAUGCCAUAUGGUACAGCACUGUGUUUGUCAUAGAUCAGGAAGUCCUGGAUUUAAAAUACCUAUUCUACCAUGAAGUGCACCAUGUGCUGGUGGGUUACUAUCACAACCUGAACAUUAUAGAAAGAGCAGAACACACAUAUAAUGAAUGACUGAAUGCCAACUCAAAACAUUCAUCACCAUUUCUAUUCACACACAUGUAUAUACACACUAAACCACGCAAAAACACAUGCAUGUUUGAGAACGGUGUAGAAAAAGGGGGCACUUUAAUUUAUUUAUAUAUAUGGAAUGUCCUCCAGUAAUGUUCAUAAUUGGCCACCGGGACCAUAUAACACCGGUCCUAAAGGAUCUAUACUGGCUCCCAGUACAUUUCCGAGCACAAUUCAAAGUUUCAGUGCUGACCUUUAAAGCCCUAAAUGGCUUCAGCUCUGUAUACCUGAAGGAGCAUGUCCGCCCCUAUCGUUCAGCCCAGACACUGAGAUCCAGUUACAAGGGUCUUCUGGUGGUUCCCUCACUGCAAGAAGUGAAGUUACAGGGAACCAGGCAGAGGGCAUUCUUAGUAGUGGCGCCCUCCCUGUGGAAUGCCCUCCCAUCAGAUGUCAAAGAGAACAACAACUACCAGACUUUUAGAAGACAUCUGAAGGCAGCCCUGUUUAAGGAAGCUUUUAAUGUUUGAUGUAUCACAGUAUUUUAAUAUUUUUUGGAAGCCUCCCAGAGUGGCUGGGGAAGCCCAGCCAGAUGGGCGGGAUAUAAAUAAUAAAUUAUUAUUAUUAUUAUUAUUACUAUUAUUAUUAUUAUGUCACCCACCCUGUGGAAUGCCCUCCCAUCAGAUGUCAGAGAGAUAAAGAACUACACAACUUUUAGAAGACAUCUGAAGGCAGACCUAUUUAGGGAAGUUUAUAAUGUUCGACAUUUUUUAAUGUUUUAAUAUGAGCCAGGUGGUGCAGCGUAUAAAUAAUAAACUAUGACAAUUGUUUAUCCAAUUAUUUUUUUUAAAAAUGAGAUGAGGUUAUGCAUCAGUACAAAAUAUUGCUCACCCCGUAACAAGGGGUUAGGGGUGUCCAAGACAGGGGUAGGCAAGUUGCUCCAUGCUGCAUAUUGUUUGCAUAAAUGCUACACGGCUGCUUUCUGUAUACAUCUUCGAGAUAUUGAGCAAAGCUGUUUUUAAAGUGAAGCUGUUUCUUUCUGGCAGAAUUGGAUUUGUCAGUGUGCUGCACCUAUUCAUCUCCCUGUAUCCGCCAGCUACUGAGAAAUUCAAAUAGCCCCACUCUCAGCGCUCUGGUACUCAUAUUCUUCAGAAGCAGAAAGAAUAUUAUUUGGGAAUGUCUUCUUGGCAGAGUAUCAAAACUGAUCUGAGCUAGUAUUUUUUAAAAGUAUUACUUAAAAGUCCUGGUAUAAGAAUUCUCUCUCUGUAAGGUCUCCCACCCCUAAUCUCUGCAGAUGGCUGGGGUAGUGGCAGAGGCAGGGGGUUAGCUCAUUUCCAGUUGAACCCAGUUCAAAGUGGGAGCUGAAUGUAAUGUCAAAUGGGUCUACCAUCAUCAAGGAAGCCAUUUCCUAAUCCCCAGUUAGCAUACAAGCAGAGUACCCUCCUCCCACCCCUGGGCAGAAGUGUACAAGUAAAAACUCGUGAGGAGGGAAUUUGGUGAAAGAGCACUCAACAAAAAAUGAAGCAGUUUGCAAAAGCAGCCAGGACAAACAACAAAGAAGGAAGGACAGAUUGAUAACACUUGUAUCUAGGGAUGGGAGACAAAUCUGGUUUGGUUCAGAUUUGAAUACAAACCUACCUAAUUCUCAUUUUCUGAAUUGGUAUGUGAACCAAAACACAACUAUUCUUUGAAAUUUGCACUUCUCCAAAUGUUGCGAUGCAGUCCUCCAAACAAAUACUGUGUACCAAGAUGUGUGCAUUAUGGUAAAGUGUGCAUAAAAAUGCAUAUAUUUGUGAUAAUAGCAUAUAAAAUGCAUUAUUUUACAGGGAAUCACUUGGAAAAAACGUGCUGAUGAAUGUUCACGAGGAUUUUUCAAUUUUAAAAAUUUGCAGACUUAUGCAGAAAUUUGGCAGACUGAAGGCAGGGAAAAGGGGAAAGUAAGAAAAACCAAAAUUGGCCAUUCUUACAAGUGUCUGUAUAUAUUAUUAGUUUGCUGUUUCAGGACCCAAGAUGCAAACACGCCCGUCCUUCUCUGUUGCCUUUGCACAGGUAGAAUUUGUUGUAUUAGGUAUAGUUGUGAAGCAAAAUUAACUUUAAAGAAACAUUGCUAUAAAAUUCUUAUAUUCUGCUUACUGUCCUUUUUAAUUAAGAAUAUAUGUGACGUCACUUGUGCAGCAAAACCACAGAAAAUGCCCUUUACCACAAACCUGGUGCAAAGAUUUGCAGCUGAAUCAGCAAGAUGCAUUACUGGGGCACUAUCCCAUCAAACUGAACAAGCACUAUAUGACAAAUGGAAAGUCUUUUAUGUUGGACAUGCCAAACACUGGGUAUCACAGAUAAUUUGAGGUAUCCUGUUAGGUGGGAAAUGUUUUACUGAACAAAAUUAAUGAAUCCCAAAAUUGAGAAUGUGAUGGUGUAUAAUGUGCUCUCUAUUUUAUAAGUCCCCCCUCCCCCGCUGGAAAAGAUCAACCAGCUCAAAAUACCUCAGGAAUGAAUUGUCUUCUUUAGUGUACAUACUGGAACUUGCUGUUUUGAGGUGAUACUCUGACUGGCUUGGACGUGCCAGGCAGCUGAAACUGCUGAGAAUUAAUCUCUCUCUCUUUUGUUUGGGAAACAGGAGUGUAUGUACUGAAACAGCCAUCCCUGCCUUUACAGUUUGCCAUAAACAAAAGCAUAAUAUUCUUCCUUCUGAGACUACAGACAGUAGAAGUAAAAACAGAGAAAGCUCAAAGAAUAGAUGUGAUGCCUGACUACCUAUUUUUCUAUGCUAAACUUUACCCAGUUCAUGCAGUUCUCAAAGCCACCAAGGAUAUAAAAAUCAAAUAAAUACACCUCUAAAUUACUUCCAGAAUUCAUACAUUUUACUGCCUCUCUCUCAUUCCAUUAAACCUCAUUAGUCCAUAUUCCCAACCCAAAUGAGAUACAGGAAAGAAAGAAAGAAAGAAAGAAAGAAAGAAAGAAAGAAAGAAAGAAAGAAAGAAAGAAAGAUGAAACAACAACAUUCCAUUCUUCCUCUAAGGAGCUCAAGUGGCACAUAUGGUCUGUCCCCCCAUCCAUUUUCUCCUCACAACAACUAUGUUAGGUGGGUUAGGCUGAGAGACAGUGAUUGAAAGGUCACCUAGUGAGCUUCCUGACUGAUUGGGGAUCUGAACCCCGGACUCCCAGGAUCUUAGUCCCUCACUAUAGCUACCACACCACACUAUGUUUGCUCACAUUCAUCACUCAUUACUCUGGCUUUUUCAUUCCCUCUGGUUUUCCCCCCCACAGUUAAAAUUUAGAUUCCUUGGGUCAGAGACCAAUUUUUCUGCUUCCAUUAUUCCAUAAGUUCUGAUUUCUGACAUGAGCACAUCAGAACUCCUAAAUGGUCAUGCAUGUGUAACUUGAGAUGUGGGUCUUACAGUGCUCAUAGGAACACGGGUGAUGCUGUAGUCUAAACCACAGAGCCUCUUGGGCUUGCCAAUCAGAAAGUCGGGGUUCAAAUCUGCUUGACGGGGAGAGCUCCCGUUGUUCUAUCCCAGCCAUAGCUGUCAACUUUUCCCUUUUCUUGCAAGGAAUCCUAUUUAGAAUAAGGGAAUUUCCCUUUAAAAAAGGGAAAAGUUGACAGCUCUGAUCCCAGCUCCUGCCAACCUAGCAGUUCGAAAGCACGCCAGUGCAAGUAGAUAAAUAGGUACAGUUGUGGUGGGAAAGUAAAUGGGGUUUCUGUGUGCUCUGGUUUCCAUCACAGUGUUCUGUUGAGCCAGAAGCGGUUUAGUCAUGCUAGCCACAUUACCCAGAAAGCUGUCUGCGGACACAUGCCGGCCCCCUUGGUCUGAAAGCAAGAUGAGUGUUGCAACCCCAUAGUUGCCUUUGACUGGACUUAACCGCCCAGGGGUCCUUUACAUUUUUACAGUACACAUCUAAAUAUUGCUAUACCCAUUCAGUUUAUGAACCUAAGAAGAGUCCUGCUGGAUCAGGCCAAUAGCCCAUCUAGUCCAGCAUCCUGUUCUCAUAGACGCCAAUGGUAAGCUAGCUAGCAGAACCUGAGCACAAUAAUUAAAAAUAAUAAUAAUUCUCAGCUACAGAAAAGUCUUUGACACAUAAUGAAUCAUGCCAUUUCUUGUUAUUGCUCACAUCCGCAGUUUCAACAACAGAGACAAAAUGUCCCUGUGUAAGUACCACUUUUUAAAUGACUUAUAAUUAAACUAACUAUUGAGGCUUGUUUAAGGAAAUUCGUGUAGAUAUGUUCAGCUUCUUCUAAAUAGUGUUAUGCAGUAAGUGGCUUCAAAUAGACAGAGGUGUUAAAGAAAAGUAGUGCAUAGUACUAAGAGCGAUGCUAUAAAAAGAACAAAGUGUUAGAUUGAAUAAACAUGAUAUGCUUGGGAAUCACAAUAUUAGCAACAUUUCUUCUUUGUUAUUUUCCAUCAUCUAAACUGCUAGCUCAAAAAAAAAAUAUCUCAUUUUGAUCAAAGUCUCAAUGAAUGUUUGUUUUUAUUAUGGAACUGAAUAUACAUAUGGCUUCAAAGAACUGAGUAGUCCACUAAUUUAUGAAUGGAUUCAAGUUCCCUACAAAACCAUCCAUCAUAAGGAGUCAUGCUCUCUUUUCAUAACCAAAGUAAGAUUUUUCUAUCUCAGCCAGAUUCAAAACCUUUGUUAGCUAUUCAGAGAUUGAUGGAACCUUAGGGAAAUUCUAGUACACAGCCAAGACAAUCUCUGCAUCUAGAAUUAGAUCUUCAAUAGGCGAUCUAUCCUGAGGUUGUGCAGUGUUUGCAGUAAUUCAAUAGAACAACCAAUAGAUUGCAUCUUAUCCAAUAAUCCAUCAUGCAUCAAACUUCUUUCCAAUAAUUCUCAACUGGCCUACACUUUCACAAGAUGUGCAUCCAUUCCAUGAAUAUGGAAUGUGUGGAAUUCAGGUGUGGAAUGCGAAAAUGAUGUAAAGAAAUUGGGAUGGGUUCAGUGGAGGGAAACAAAGAUGACUAGAGGUAUGGAGCAGGGCUGUGCGUGGACACACACACACACACACACACACACACAACUCUACCCUGUGGCCCUAAUCUGUGGCCUGAGGAAGGCUCUCAGCAGCUAUGGAUCCUGUAGACGACUUGCCACCUUCUGUUCCUGAUCAGUUCCAAUGAGCUCUCUCCAUUUCUACUUCCAAAAACCAUUUAUAAUCCCUUCAUUUUCCCAUAGUUCCUAUAAUUUUGUGCCUAUGGCUAAGGCACUUACCUCUGUAACGUUUCCUUGAAAAGUAUGUGGAGAGAAAACAGUCUGAAUAACAUCACACCCAGCCCACUUCAAUCCUCAAACUCACUGCACUUCAUCCUAUCAGGAACUGUCAACAAGGUUACUUUGCAACACUAUAUUGAAAUGGCAAUGAAUGGGUAUACCUGUGAAAGGGCAGAUAAUUUCUUACUCUUCCUUCCAGCCUUCAGCUGAGAGGAUCUUUGCUACACUGGAAGCCAAGAAAUUGUGUGCUUUUACAGUCCCUCGACAUCUGCAAAGAUAAAAGAGCUUCAGUUCCAAACAUUUAAAGAAGAAGAAUUUGUUUCUAUCACAACAUGGAAUAUGACUGGUGUUAGUGUGGUUUCUUUGGCUAAAUUUCUGCCAGGAUCACUUCCCUGCCAAAUUGUACAUCCAAUAACUAUACAUAAUUUUUACUUUUUAAUAAAUGACCACUAAAUGGUUGUAUAAACAGAGCAAACUAACAGCAUAUAUAGUUUAUAAUGAAUAUCUGUUGCUGCAUGAGUAACAAAUAACUCAGCCAGACUGACUGCAGGUCAACACCAUUACCACUGGCUGGUACAGAUCAAUAGUUUCUCUUGCUGAGAAAGCCACAUUGCAACUGUUCCAACAGAUACACCCUUGAAACAUCUCCUAUGUUUGUACAUUCAGACUGGUUUUGGAAAUAUGACUAUUAAUACAAGAGUAAUAAACAUUAUGACUCACUGACCCAUAUAGCUCCUAUUGCAAGAUUCCCCUCUAUAUUAUUAUUCGUCUAUAUUUUGCAUUAUAUUGGCAAUUACUCCUACUAAUCUGUAUCACAGCUGGAUUACGGACAACAGGCAUUAUCCCAGAUAAAGGGCACAAUCCUAUGCACAUUAAAAUGGAAAUAAUCCCAACUGAAUGUAGUGACAUGUGUCAGUAUAUAUUCAAUGUCUUAGACAGCGUCCCUCAAAAUGUGGAUUGAGGAAGCUCAAAAGCAGCAUCUGAAAUAGCACAGACAACAACCGAAAGAAGAUCUGAAAGCUUCUGCAAUCACUAGGUGCUUCCUCAAGGAAACAGUUUGAUUCUGGAUUAUUCAGCAUACAAGUAGCAUGUGCUAAACAGAAAUGUUGUUUUUAAUUGCAUUUUUCCAACUUACUUUUAGCCCACCUUAGAUGCUGAGUUGUGUGACAUACAGUAACCCAACCAAUAGCGCCAGAUGCAGUACACCAUUACCUUGAAACUGACCUGGUUGGAUAGUGAAGACUUCGUUUAUAGAAUUCCUUUUUGUCUAGACAAUGCACAAAAUCAACUGAGAGAGAGAUUGCAGACUUUGGACAACUGCUAUAUAAGCAGUUACCAUUACCAGUACCACUAGAAGCAGCUUCUGUUUCCUGCAAUCAGUUAACUAAUUCAUAAAAACCAAUGGGAAAACAGCUGACAAUGUAUCUACUUGGUACUACACACCACAGAUUAACAACCAAUGGUAAUCAAGUCUGAGAUUGGAUAAACACCUUUAGACAGUUUGUGUAACAAAUUAUUUAUUAUACUUCAGUCGUAAGCACAGUCUUUGAAAACAUGUGACACUACGUUUCAUGAAACUUAACUUGCAAAUAAGAGUGAAUUAUCAGGUGCAAUAUUUGUUCAGCAUCUUUUUUCCCCAACUCUGGUUUAGCUUGGAUUUGCACAUGUACCAGUUGGGUGGGCUGAGGAGAAAGGAAGGCUACAUGGGCUAAGGCUGUGUACAGAGAUUGGCACACUUAAGGUCUGAGGCCUUUGUUUUUUAAAAAAUUAGAAUGGUGUUUGUGUGUCUAACGUUGUGCAGUUUUAAAAAAUGUUUACAUGUGAGGAAGAGAUCCUAUGUCUAGAAAUCCUCCUCUCAGUAAUCCUAGUUCCAAUAUUACUAAUGAUCUGGCAUGACUAUCAAAUACUGAAACAUCAGAGGAAGAGUUUUGUAAAAUUUAGAAGUAAAUCAGUUAUUUGGCCAUAUUUUGACUGAUGUCUAUACAACUAUAUUAAGGGUGCUGGGGUCUAAAAGCAUAGCUGCUAGACGAGGGAAAGCGAGACGUCAGCAAAACUGUUGUCUGGGUUAUACUUAAGUGAUUUCAUACUUGGUAGGAAAAAUAGACAAAGUGCAAGCAGUCUGGCUACACAUUUUUUAAAGUACUCAGUCAAAGUUUAUCACAGGUUACUUGGUGGCCUAGUUGGCUGACAUUUCAAAGUCCAAGAUGUCUGCAUUUGAGUCUAAAACUUGGCAGACAAAACAGGUUCUUUUGCUCAGCAGGAAAAUCUCAUUUCCUACCGGCUACUCCAACCUCCUUUAAAUGCUAUGAACUGAUCAGGAUUUCAGCACUGUUUACAUAUAAAACAGUUUAACAGGAUUAAUUUCAGGAAAGAGCAUUUGCUCUAAAUUUAGAAAUACAACUCAGAGCUAAUACUAAAUAUGAAAUGCAACCAGCAUUUUCCAUGUACAAAAAUUAACCUGAUGUUUUGCAAUGCAAAAUGAAUGCUGAUUUAUUCUGAAUUGCAGUUUUAUCGUAUUCUUGCUUUUUUGUAUAUUACCUUGUUACUGUGUAAGAAAGUAUGUACAGAAUAGUGAUAGGUGACUAUCAAGUUCAGGUUUCCACAGUUUCUCAUUUUUCCCCCAUCUUAACUUUAGUGUCUUCCACAUUUUCAUGUCAGUUUCAAUUUUCAUUUUAGUGUGAAUAGCUCCUAAUGCACACUUUUGCCAAAUAUACACAUUUUUUACAGAACAAUUCCCCCUAAUAUAAUGCAAUUUUUGUAUGUUAUUUUCACUAAUACACAUAUUUCUUCACACCCAAUGUAUGAUUUUUUUGUACACAAUAUUCAACUGGAGAACUACAAUGCAAAAUUCAUAGAAACGCGAAUUUCAAAAGACAGCUAUGUUUCAGUUCACAUGUUGUUUUGGGAGGUGUGAAUUAGGCAAAAUAUAAUGUACGUAGAAGUCCUACAAUUGCUUAUUUGCAUAUAAAGAACAGUGAACGAGGCAACAUCAGAAUGUUCUAGAAGAGCCACAGAGCACAGCAUACCUUUUUGGCUUUUCGUUCAAAGCUGUGCAAGAGAAGUAUCAUGAAGUGACUGACCUGAGCUGCAGAGGAUGGGGAAAAAACUUUGUUGCGCAGUUACAGUACCAAAUGCUACCCUCAAUUCUGAAAAAUGAGAUGGAAAAGCACUAUAGGAAAAGCAGCUUGAAAUCAUUUCUUAACAAUCAUGACUGAUAUUUCACAUCAGCUCCCUUUUCUACAACACAAUUUGUGCACAUAUAAACUAUCCAGAAAAUACAGUCAUUCAGGGGCUAGAAAAACAGAGCAAGCUAUGGCAAAUGAAAGUAUGUGUAUAAUUUGCUAACGUUGCCUCAAAAUUGCUCAGGGUGGGAUCUAUCUAUCCUCCAAAGUUUCAAAAGAGAACUUUGCCAUCUUCAUCUUCCUCCAGAAGACCCAGCUGCUUUUCAUAUUCCCGUAGUAUAAUUUUUACGCUAAGCAGACCAAAAAACUUUUAUUUUCAUAAAUGAGGCAUGCUUUUGUUUUUCUGUUUUUCAACCAGGCGAGACAAAUGGCCAGUUAAGACAAUAUUUUAGUGCCAGUCUGGUGGACACCUUCAAUGAAAUAUGUCUGGCACCAAAAAAGAAAAGAGGAAAAAAAGACACGUGGCCGGAGAACAUUCUCUCCCACUCUCCUUGGAAUACACAGCGCAUUGCAAAAGUAAGACCUAGUAACUUUAGUGGGUCUUCAGGAAUACACAGCCUUAUAGCACAAUCUAAUGUACUUUGGCUCAGAUGCAGGUCUCACUCAAUCAGAACUACCAACACUAGUUUCUGGAAAUUAUAAUGCUAUCUGCUGCAGGAAUAGCUUAGCAAGCUGAAGCCUCCUGAAAAUAUGGCUACAGGAGGUUGUGGUCACCACUUUAAGUAGUUGAAGAACCGUGUAUUAGGAGCACUUAAAUCUUCUAAAGAUCUGCCGCUAUAUGAACACAGUGCAACACUCAAGAACUUUAUCAGACCUUUCUUUAAAAUGAACAACAGGGUGACCGGAUAUUAUAGGCAAGCAGAACCUCACUUCUAAGUGCUUUACUUGGAAAUGCAUCAUUGAAAUCAAAGAUUUGCUCCUUUUAGGAUCUGAAUAUAUCAUAGGGGCUUCAGCAGGUAUCAGCUGCAACUGGUGGGACAGAGAUAGGAUCUUACUGGAGUUAGACCAGCUUGUUUUAUGUCCCUUGCUUCACCCUUUCCUCCCACACUCCGCUUUUUGGAGGCGCACAGUUUUCCUUUUUUUCUGUUUACUGUCAAUGUAAUCUGACUUUGAUUGGUUUGGAGAACUCAUCCAUCUUAGCUCGUGGUUCGUCAGGCAGACUAAUCAAAGGAGCUUGCAGCCUCCCACUACAAAUGCAGAGGGGGGCACAAAAGAAGCAGAAAAGGAACUGGAGAAAGAAUAAAAGUCAGAAACAGAUAUAGGAGACAUUAGAAACAUAGGAGAUAUGGGGGGGGCUGUUACUAACUAAAUUUCUCCGUAGUGAAGUACUUGAGUAAGCCAAUCAUCUAUAAUAUGUAUUAACUCACUAUUGGGUUGGUGCUUUGAUAAAUACACACCAGACCCAGAAAACCAGGACUCAAGGUUAACACAGAAGCACUGAAUGGUGAUUAAUAUAAUAAUGUAGUAUAAUAUAUGAUCUAUGAUCUGAUCUGAUCAUUCAGGAAUGUGCUGUAUAAUGCAUAUAUAUAAUUCAAGGAUGUGCUGUAACUAACUACAGUGGUACCUCUGGUUACCAACUUAAUUCAUUCCAGAGGUCUGUUCUUAAGCUGAAACCAUUCUUAUCCUGAGGUGUGCUUUCGCUAAUGGGGCCUCCCGCUGUGUGAGCUCCUCUGGCACACGAUUUCCAUUCGCACCCGGGAUAAAGUUUGCAACCAGGAGCAACUACUUCCAGGUUAGCAGAGCUUGUAACCUGAAGCAUUCAUAACCAGAAGUGUUCGUAACCAGAGGUACCACUGUACACACACACACACACACACACACACCCUGAUUUAAAUCUGCUAUGCUAAUUCUGCUAAUUUUGCUCGUGUUGUUUUGCUACUAUUUUAUGGAAUUCACUUUUUUUUUUUACCUUUCUCUUUUAUGCUGUUUUAAAUUGAAUUUGUAAGGUUACUUUAAAUGCUCUGAGGUGCCCUGGACAUUUUUUUAGGGUAGGGUAUAAAUUGUUUAAAUAAUAAAAUGAAAUAUAAAGCAAAGCAAAGCAAAGCAAUGUACUUGCACCCUCCUUUUUCUUAGGAAAAAGCCCUUGCUCUUAGGAUUUGGCUGCAUAUUCCCUACAAUGUCCUAGAUGGGUGAUAAUCUUUCUUCCCCCUUAUCUCCAGACAUAGGACUGGUUCUCAAGAUCAUGUGGCCAGUGUUCUACUCCAAGAAGGAUAUUCCUGUCACUGUCUAACAGAAGGGGAAGAAGCAAAUGUGGUGUUUGCCCACUCAUUAUGGAGAUGUCGUACCGGCGGAGAAAGCGAAAGUGUUAAUAGGCUGACCAAUAAGAAAGCCCGGGGGCGGAGCCUAACUGUGUUUAAGGCUCAACACAGGGGUUUUGGCAGUUAGUUUGGUUGGUUUCUUGUGGGUGGGAGGCAUAGGAGUCAGAGUGAGUUAGAGACAGAGGGGAGACAGAGAGAGUGAAUCGGAG